GAAACAGCUCUGAUACUUUCCCCUGAAAAAAAGACUGUAUCUUAAGUCAUCUAUCUUAUGUCAUGCUGGCUAAGUACUAAUGCUACUGGCUUGAAAGUGGCCUGCUCUGUAGCAAAGAGGCUGCCUUUUUAAUUACUUAAAAGCCAUAUAUCACUUGACUCCAGGAUCCAACACAAACACUGUUCAAUCCCAGGCUGAACAGCUCAAAACUCAUUCAUCCUUUAUAACUGUUGAGAUCAGGGCUUUUCAGACUGGGCAGGGACCCAAAAGUAUGGUUGGGCAUCGUUUGGAUUGUAACAAUUCAGAUUCCAAUUCUGACUCUUCCUUUCGAUUCCGGUUCUUAUCGAUUACAAUUCUUUGAGGGUCGCAGAUAAGAG